GGGCGCUUAGCUCAGCUGGUACGAGCGUCUGGUUUACACCCAGAAUGUCGGCGGUUCGAUCCCGUCAGCGCCCA
rfam:Treponema denticola ATCC 35405, complete genome.